CACACUUAGGCAUUUAGGAUCAUCUUGCAUACAUAUUGCAC
rnacentral:sRNA from 1 species